rnacentral:lncRNA from 1 species
AUGACAAUCUGGUCCUUCCUCAGCAGCUGCCAGAGGGGAGCAGGGAGGGCUGAGCUGGCUGGGAAAGCAGAGAGUCAGGGCAGCCAGCAGAGCCCCUGGGGCAUGGAGACAGCCCAGCAAUGGCAGCACUGCAGCUGCUCUGCCUGCUCAGGGUGCUGCCUGUUCCCCAAAUCCAGCCCUGCCAGCACAGACAGGACUCCCAGGAGCCACAGAACCAGCAGGAGGGUUGGCACAGUGGCUGGGCAGGGUGGCUGGCUCCCAGCCUGGCUGGUUGUUACGGGAAGGCGAUAUUUUUAUGUGGGCAAUGAGAACUAAAGGAAACAAUUAAAACUAAAUAGGCUGGAACCGAGCAAUUUUUCAGCUUUCCACUGAGAAGAAAAAGAGUUCCUUUGUGAACAGUGAAAUCCUCCUGGCAAGCUGUAGGAUCCCACCUGAUGAAGCAAAAGCUGCACCAUUACACUGCAGAAGGGAUCCCAGUGGAAAACCCACAGGGGUGGUGUCCCUUGCUGCCCUUAGAACCAGGCCCCCAGCACAAGGCAGCCAUGCCCUGGGCAGGGGAGGCUGGGGGUGCUUUGGGGACAAGGCUGGUGCUGUCCUACCUAUCACCAACCCACUGGUCAGUGCUGAGGCUACUCCUCCUUCCAAGUGACACCCACUGGAGGAGUCAUGUCUACCCUGUAGCUUGCAUCAGUCAGGGUGCUGAGAGGGGCUCCAGCUUGUAGCCUUUCUUUGCCAAGGUCCUGGCAGCUCUCACAUGUCCUGCUUGUCCUCACCUCCUUUUGGCAGGUGAAGAUCUCUGCUGCUGCAGCCUCCGUGCAAGGCUGGAGGAGGGUUCAGUCACUGAGCUGAAAGUGCCCCGUGGUUCUGCUGCAGAUUCUCCAUGUGAGCACGGCUCUGGGGACUUUGCAGGGCCCAAAAGGGCUUGGGAGGAUUUGGGGGAAGAAAUCCACCCACCAGGGCCAUGCAGCAUGAGGAUGGACUCUCUGCAGUGCCACCCGGUGCAGCUCCAUGCACUGUCACCUGGAACCAUACAUAAAUAAGGAUUUUUUUUCCUUUGAUCAGUCUGGGUUAAUUUGAUGAGCAGAGACAGACUCAACUUUCAUGCAAUAACUGUUUUCUUCCCUCCUGCCCCAGAUUUGCUUCCCUUUUUUAGCUCAGGCCAAUGCUGCAAUAGAAAACAUAGGGCAGGUGUCGAGAGCCCCUUGACAGCAAUUCCCUAAAUUCUCCUAAAUUCCUCCUGCCCAGGAGCUGUGGCAAAAGUUUGAGUUUCACACCAAUUCAAUCCUAACUGAAUGCCCUGAAUUCUUCAGUUGUGUCUGGCUUUUAGGUCUGGCAUCCUUGAAGAACAAUAUCCAUUUAAAUUGCUGAUUUGGGCUUGCUCAUUUAAUUUCAUCUUAAUAAAGAUUUUAUGUGGUUUUGACA